UACGGGGGGGGCAAGCGUUGUUCGGAAUUACUGGGCGUAAAGGGCUCGUAGGUGGCCAACUAAGUCAGACGUGAAAUCCCUCGGCUUAACCGGGAAACUGCGUCUGAUACUGGAUGGCUUGAGUUUGGGAGAGGGAUGCGGAAUUCCAGGUGUAGCGGUGAAAUGCGUAGAUAUCUGGAGGAACACCGGUGGCGAAGGCGGCAUCCUGGACCAACACUGACACUGAGGAGCGAAAGCCAGGGGAGCAAACGGG
rnacentral:rRNA from 1 species